GCAAUCUUUUCUUUCCUUUCCCUAUAUGUGUAUACAUAAUUUUUGCUUGCUUAGUACAUGCUCUUUCUUGUAACUGCUGUUCUGCAAUUUUUGAUGGCCAUGGAGAUUGAUUCCGAUGGAAACAAUGGCUCUCUCAUUCUCCUCAAAUGAUGCACAUGUAACUGCUGAGUGAAUGAGUGAUCCGAUUUGCCGUUCCCUUGCACCUCCGUGAAGUGGACAACUCCCUUCCUUAUGAUUUUCAAUAUUGAGUUAUAAUCCUACUACUUGUUUGGUUCUCUCUCUUAAGAGGGUUUUCGAGUUGAAUUUCGUGGGAAGAAGGUGCAUAAUCAAGGAGCGCUUCUCGAAGAAGUACCACCAUCCUUCCUUGGAUUCCAAACGCACUCUCAAGCGUAUGAAUGCGUGAUGCAGUUGGUAUACUUCAUGAUGGGGUUUCAUCCAUGGUGAUUUGACCACUUCUAACAUCUUUUUGCAGAGUGCUACAAAUCAACUGAAGAUAAAGCUGAUGAUCUUUAUAUACUUGAACGUGCUCUGCUGUCGAUGCGUUCCUCUUGUGGAAAUGUGGUAUGCCAAAGGAGUCUUCCCAAUCUUCCCUUUAUGGUCACUGGCAUCAGUUUACAUAUAGUUCAGUCCCUCCCGCCUAUACAAACUUAAAUAAGCCACAUAUGGCUCUUCGAUAGUUGUUUUGGAGGCAAAUUUGAUGGCGCUUGAUGCCUUGAUUUCAUAUGAUAUGUCUUGAUGGACCGGAUACUUUCAGCAUACAGGAAGUCCUUGAACAUCUAGGUGAAUAAGCUAGCCCAAGUGAGGCAAAGGGGUCGGAAGUGAACCGUGGUUGGAUGACCUUCUUCAGUCUUUUCUAUAAGUCCCUUAGGGGAAAUUCGAAAAAAUGAAAUCCUAUUUGUUUGUGAGAACUACAUGUGAAGUUGUUGUACUUUGAUUUUGUUCGGUUAGUGUCUUGGUCAUUACCUUACCUCUC